rnacentral:tRNA from 1 species
GUUUUAAUAGUUUAAUAAAAAACGUUGGUCUUGUAAAUCAAAAUUAAGAGAUUCUUUUAAAACU